rnacentral:rRNA from 1 species
AUUGAACGCUGGCGGCAGGCCUAACACAUGCAAGUCGAACGAGUGGCGGACGGGUGAGGAAUGUCUUGGAAACUGCCCGAUGGAGGGGGAUAACUACUGGAAAUGGUAGCUAAUACCGCAUACCAUCAGAUGUGCCCAGAUGGGAUUAGCUAGUUGGUGGGGUAACGGCUCACCAGGGCGACGAUCCCUAGCUGGUCUGUGAGGAUGACCGGCGACACUGGAACUGAGACACGGUCCAGGCGCCUACGGGAGGCAGCAGUGGGGAAUAUGGGGCAGUGGGCGCAAGCCUGAUGCAGCCGUGCCGCGUGUAUGAAGGAGGCCUUCGGGUUGUAAAGUACUUUCAGCGGGGAGGCGUUACCCGCAGAAGAAGCACCGGCUAACUCCGUGCCAGCCGCCGCGGUAAUUC